UGACCGCCGCCUGCCCCUGCAGUGUUGUGAAAUCCCAUGUCCCGGGCAAUGAAUCUCUUGCCGUGGACAGCUGCAUAUAUGAGAUACACACACGUGCGGUAAGAAAACAAAACCAAGAAAGAUGAAUUGGUAAGAAGAAUAAAAAAUGGUGACUGUAGUUACCAAAGGUAGCAGUCAUUGUGGUUGUGAUUCCUAAACUAUUGCUGCGGUUGCCAGAAACGAUGGUUUUGUCCAUUCCGUCACCGUACAUUAAGACAUUCCAUUUAUCCUUUGCAACAUUCACAUUUUCACGAUAGAGUCCUUCCUUGACAUAGAUAACAAAUCUAUUCUUACUUCUUGCAGGCACAGCUUUGAUGGCUUCGGUUAUCGUCUCGUAGUCCCCUGAACCAUCUUCUGCCACCACAGCAUUGACUUUGAUCCUUCUCUCCUUCACCAGUUUCCAGUACUUGGAAGACAACCAAGUGGGCUCGGAAUCACUAGUAAGUUCACUCGACUUUUCUAUUUCAUCGACCAUUGAGGAUGGUUCUUGUGAGCUCAUGUAUUCAUCGAUCUUGCUUAUUAUGGCAAGGCUAGUAGUAACAAGUUUAGUAGAUUUGUCCAAAUUUUCAGCUACAACUUUUCUUACCUCAUCCGGUGCGUAUUCGAAGCCAUCCAUGCACGUAUUCAGAUCCGAACCGGCAGCACUUAGUAAUGUUCGAAACUCGGUUCGUGUCUCGUACGUUGUUAGGACACUAGUACUUGUAGGUAAUGACCCUUUGAGAUUGUACAAUGCUAGUGAAAGAAAAUUACGACAACUUUUCAUCGCAGACAGCAAAAUCUUUUCGUUGGUAUUUUCUAAUAUUUGAGUCAAUUUCCCGUCGGUGGAGAAUUUUUUGUAGACCAUCGAGACCUCGUUUAUGGACACUUGGACAGAUAAGUUGUAAAAGAGGCGAGUGUCGUAGUUAUUUUUGGAGUCGAUUAGAGGAGAGAGAUUAUCGUAGCAAGUGUUUGGGUGUAGGGUCGUAUCGCAUAGGACACUGAGUGUGGUGAAGAGAGUCUUGUCUAAUUUGCUUUGAGAUAAACCAAAGGAAAAUGCAAACGUAAACACCAACAUUAUUUUGUUUACGAAACAAAAGAAAUUUGGAGAGCCCAUGAUUCAAGAAUGCUUCUCUAUGAUAUUGUUCAGAACCUACUCAAUUCGAAUGAUGCAGGAAGUGAACCUAGUUUUAUAUUCAUGUAGUUCGAAUAAUUAGGAAAUUCACUUUUAGUAUUGCAAAUCCAUAAACAGUAAACGAAAAUCUUACAUGAUUAACCAUAUUCAGAAUGAGACAAUCCCUAUUAAUGGCUUUUAGGCAAUCACAAUAUUCUGUUUUACCAUUAUAGCAUAUUCUCAGCAUACCCAUUAAUUGGUUUUAACCAAAUAUUAGAUUAACCUAUUAUUAUAAUUGGUAUGCUUAGUUUAGUGUAAGCCUCGUUUUUUUGGGGCAAGGAUUAAAAAAAGACCGGCACAAUAGUAAAUGCACUUGGUUUUACUCCAAAGAAGAUAAAUAUAAAGAACUAAGUUUGUUCUUUCGACAUAAUGCGAACUCCUCAUCCCGAUGAAACGAGAUCAAGAGUUCUUAUAAAUUUUGUACAAUUUUGUGAGAGUGUGUAUCUAGCUUCUUUCAAUUAACAUCUACGAGUCCGUAGAUUUUGGCCUAAAUUCUCAUCUGGCUUGUUGAUAGAUUGCCUGCUGGAGAUACUUUAAGGUUGUCUGAUGAUUUAGAAAUCCCAUGAACCAGAAAUCGAAAUUGUCCUCCGUCUCUAUCUGCACGUACUUCUGUGUUGGUCUUUUCACAUUCUCACUUUCGACGGCUCUCGUUAUUUUUCUCAGUGGGAUCAUCACCUACAUACAUACAUAUAUAUAUACAAGUUAAAUACAAGACGAUUUGUAGUUUUCAUCUGUUGCAUAAAUAAACUUAGCCGAUUGAAAAAUAUUACGUGAUUCGAAAUUUCAGUAUUACCUUGUAAUGUGCUUUCAGACGCUUCCCAUUUGGCGAGGAGAGUUUGAUGGAUUUCUCACUACAGAAAGCAACUCUUUCACUCGAAACAAAGAGAAGCCCAGCUAUUGGUCCAGCUGU
rnacentral:lncRNA from 1 species